AGGGUUUGAUCCUGGCUCAGAGCGGACGCUGGCGGCGUGGUUGAGGCAUGCAAGUCGAACGAGAAAGGAGGGGCAACCCUCCGAGUAAAGUGGCGCAAGGGUGAGUAAUGAAUAGGUAACCUGCCCAUAAGCCAGGGAUAACUCACUGAAAAGUGAGCUAAUACCGGAUGGCAUCAGAUGUCUUCGGAUGUUCUGAUUAAAGUCGGGGAUCCGCAAGGACCUGGCGCUUAUGGAUGGGCCUAUUUCCUAUUAGCUAGUUGGUAGGGUAAUGGCCUACCAAGGCGAAGAUGGGUAGCCGAUCUGAGAGGAUGACCGGCCACACUGGGACUGAGACACUGCCCAGACUCCUACGGGAGGCUGCAGUCGCGAAUCUUCCGCAAUGGGCGAAAGCCUGACGGAGCGACGCCGCGUGAAGGAUGAAGGCCUUCGGGUCGUAAACUUCUGUCAUACGUUAUGAAGCAUUCUUGGAUUAACAUGCUGGGAAUGUUGACAAAGGCGUAAGAGGAAGCCACGGCUAAAUACGUGCCAGCAGCCGCGGUAAUACGUAUGUGGCAAGCGUUGCUCGGUGUCACUGGGCAUAAAGAGUUCGUAGGCGGCGGCGUAAGUCGGGUGUGAAAUCCCUUGGCUCAACCAAGGAAUUGCAUCCGAUACUGCGUUGCUUGAGGUCGGAAGGGGAGAGUGGAAUUCUGGGUGUAGCGGUAAAAUGCGUUGAUAUUCAGGAGAACACCGGUGGCGAAGGCGACUCUCUGGUCCGAUUCUGACGCUGAGGAACGAAAGCUAGGGGAUCAAACGGGAUUAGAUACCCCGGUAGUCCUAGCCCUAAACGAUGGGCACUAGAUGGGAGGCGAAAGCUUUCUGUCGUAGCUAAUGCGUUAAGUGCCCCGCCUGGGGAGUAUGGUCGCAAGGCUAAAACUCAAAGGAAUUGACGGGGGCUCACACAAGCGGUGGAGCAUGUUGCUUAAUUCGAGAGUACACGAAGAACCUUACCCGGGUUUGAAAUGCACGGAUUAGUCCGGUGAAAGUCGGAUGACGCUCUAACCAGUGGAACGUGCACAGGUGUUGCAUGGCUGUCGUCAGCUCGUGUCGCGAGAUGUCGGGUUAAGUCCCUUAACGAGCGAAACCCUUGUCCUUAGUUGCCAGCGGGUAAUGCCGGGGACUCUAAGGAGACUGCCGGUGUUAAACUGGAGGAAGGUGGGGAUGACGUCAAGUCAUCAUGGCCCUUAAGUCCGGGGCCGCAAACGUGCUACAAUGGGGUGUACAGAGAGACGCGAGACCGCGAGGUGGAGCAAAUCUCAAAAACACCCCCCAAUUCAGAUUGGAGGCUGAAAUUCGUCUCCAUGAAGCCGGAAUCGCUAGUAAUCGCGGGUCAGCCACACCGCGGUGAAUAUGUUCCUGAGCCUUGUACACACCGCCCGUCAAGCCACCCAAGCUGAUCGCACCCGAAGUCCAUGUCCUAACUCGCAAGAGAGGGAGUGGCCGAAGGUGAGGUUAGUAAGGGGGACUAAGUCGAAACAAGGUA
rnacentral:rRNA from 1 species